UUUGAUGCAAUGAUUAUAAGUAAUUCUUCAUACUAGCUAGUUUUGUCAUUGGCAUGACACACACAAAUAUAUACAUACAUAUAUAUACACA
rfam:Musa acuminata subsp. malaccensis Doubled-haploid Pahang (DH-Pahang) genomic chromosome, chr6